AAUAGCCUUCCAAGGGGAGCAGUGGGGCCAAAAAAACUAACUGGCUUCAAGACUGAGGUUGAUGAGUUUAUGGAAGGGAUGGUAUGAUGAGACUGCCUACAAUGGCACGUGGCCCAUCUGCGAAUGCUGGUAGCAAAUAUCUCCAACAGCCAGAGAUCGGAUGCUAGAUGGAGAGGGCUCUGAGUUACUACAGUUAAUUCUUUCCCAGGUGUCUGGCUGGUGGGUCUCGCUGACCUGCUCCGGGUCUGAGUGAUCUCCAUAUUUGGGGUUGGGAAGGAAUUUUCCCAGGUCAAAUGGGCAGAGACCCUGGGGUUUUGGUUUUUUUCCUGCCUUCCUCUGCAUUGUGGGGCCUGGGUCACUUGCUGGUUUGAACGGGAGUAAAUGGUUGAUUUUCUGUUCCUUGAAGCCUGUAAAUCAUGAUCUGAGGACUUCAGUAACUCAUCCAGAGGUUAGGGGUCUAUUACAGGAGUAGGAGUGUGAGGGUCUGUGGCCCGUGAUGUGCAGAAGGUCAGAUUAGAUGAUCAGGAUGGUCCCUUCUGACCUUAAAGUCUAUGAGCUCUCUCCUGUC